rnacentral:rRNA from 1 species
CAGCAGCCACGGGAAUACGUAGGGUCCGAGCGUUGUCCGGAAUUAUUGGGCGUAAAGAGCUCGUAGGCGGUCUGUCGCGUCUGCCGUGAAAUCCUCAGGCUCAACCUGAGGCGUGCGGUGGGUACGGGCAGGCUAGAGUGCGGUAGGGGAGAAUGGAACUCCUGGUGUAGCGGUGGAAUGCGCAGAUAUCAGGAAGAACACCGAUGGCGAAGGCAGUUCUCUGGGCCGUAACUGACGCUGAGGAGCGAAAGCGUGGGGAGCGAACAGGAUUAGAUACCCCGGUAGUCCCUGUCUCUUAUAC